CCCUCUUGACUGUAUCAGCGGCAGCGAUACACGCAAACCACGCCGUUGUCUUCCUUCUCAGUUCUUAAUCUCGCAUCGAAGCUCGCAAUUUUCGUGUCGUUCGCCAUUAAUCUACACGAUGAAGUCUUCGCUCUUGAGAGCUAACUCUGUUGUCUCUUUACGGAAGGUAUGUCGUUUUUCCUGUUGUUCGUCUGGGUCGAUCAAAUGGUUGGAUAAAAUGUUGAGAAAUCUGAGUACAGUUCCCGAAAGUUGGGAUUAUCUGAAAUCUCUUGGAUAUCACGCGGAUGAUUCUUCGGACAAAACUAAUAAUACAAAUGAGUUUGACAGUAAAAAAGCUCAACACUUUUUUGGGUUUCGGCACAACUUAAACCCUAGGGCAGGGUUUGAGGGAGACUAUGUGAAUGAUUUCGCGAGACAUUCUGCGAGAAAAGAUGCGAUAUCUGGGCAGAAUCCAAAUGGCGUUUAUCAAGAGUAUGCUAAUCCUAGAAACCACAGUGGCAGAGAACACGGUGGCUUUGAUGAGUACAACGGGAAAAAUGAUGCGAUAUAUGGGCAGAAUCCAAACGGCGUUUAUCAAGAUUAUGCUAAUCCUAGAAACAAUAGUGGCAGAGAACACGGUGGCUUUGAUGUGUACAACGGGAGAAAAGAUGCGAUAUAUGGGCAGAAUCCAAAUGGCGUUUAUCAAGAUUAUGCUAAUCCUAGAAACAAUAGUGGCAGAGAACACGGUGGCUUUGAUGUGUACAACGGGAAAAAUGAUCAAAAUAUUCUGCGGAAUCCGACCGAGUUUUAUCCAGGGAGAAUGCAGGGUUCUUGGGAGAAUCGGAAUGGUGUAUAUGGGGAGAGGUCACAAGGAUUUCAGCAGAAUUGGAACAUAUACAGUCAGAGCGGAACUGGGAAUUAUGGUGGAGGUGACAAAAGUGUUCAUCAGCAAAAUCAGAUUCCAUCGAGUAGCAGUGUUAACUCCUCAUACAGUUAUAGCAAUGGAUUUCAACAGCAGAAUAUUUGUAUGGUUCAGACACAGAACUCGUUGAACGCACAAACUCAGUGUAAGGGUUCCAACCAUGGCGGAGAAGGUGGAACAUGGCAAACUCCUAAUGCCUUUGAUUCGCAAGUCCAAGCUUAUGAUCAAAGAAACCUCAACUGGAACAACACACAGAGUUGGCAGAACCUGAGCACAAGCCCAGGAAGACAACACUGGACAAACUCAGAUGAUCAGAAUGGUCGGUCAUCUUUUCAACAAGGCAAUGUCUCUCGCACUAACAUGGGGAAAUCUGAGAGUGAUUUCUUGAUUGAGGACUUAGAUGCAUAUUGCAGAGAUGGUAAGUUGAAAAAUGCCGUAAGUGUUAUCCUUUCAAUGACAAGUAAGGGUCAUGUGGUUGAUUUACCUAGGCUGUUACGGUUAGCUCAGCUGUGUGGGGAGGCAGAGGCUUUACAAGAGGCCAAGACUGUUCACAAGCACUUUAGUGUUUCCGUUUCCAUUUCUGACAUCAAUUCCCACAACCUAAUGAUUGAAAUGUUUGCGAAUUGUGGUUCAGUGGAUGACGCGUUAAGUAUUUUUGAGAAAAUGGCAGAGAAAAAUUCAGAGACUUGGUGCACUAUGAUAAGGUGUUUGGCUAAGAAUGGUCUAGGGGAAGAGGCCAUUGAUAUGUUUACUCGUUUCAAGUAUGAAGGAAACAGACCCGACAGUCAAGUAUUCAAAGGGGUCUUCUAUGCGUGUUCUAUACUAGGUGACAUUAAUGAGGGAUUAUUGCAUUUUGAAGCAAUGUAUAAAGACUAUGGCAUCAUCCCCACCAUGGAACACUAUGUGAGUGUUGUUGAGAUGCUUGCAGCACCCGGUUAUUUAGAUGAAGCCUUGGAAUUUGUCGAGAAGAUGCCAAUGGAGCCAAGUGUUGAAGUGUGGGAAACAUUGAUGAAUCUUUCUAGGGUUCAUGGGGAUUUGGUGCUUGGAGAUCGGUGUGCCGAGGUGGUUGAGCAACUAGAUGCAACACGAUUGGAUAAACAGUCAAGGGCGGGUCUGUUACCAGUCAAAGAAUCAGACGUCGCGAAGGAGAAACUGAAGAAAGCAUCGGGAAUCCUGGAUCCUCUAGAAAUUAGAAGCAAAGUCCAUGAAUUUAGAGCAGGAGAUACUGCACAUCCCGCGAAUGAAAAGCUCUAUGGCGUGUUGAAGAGUUUAAAGGUGCAAAUGGUUGAAAUGGGGUAUGUCCCUGAACAUAGAUUUGUUUUGCACGAUGUUGACCCAGAAACUAAGGAGGAAGCCCUUCUUGCCCACAGUGAGAGACUAGCUUUCGCUCAGGGUCUUCUCAGCUCUCCUGCCCGCGCUCCUAUCCGUGUGAUUAAAAAUCUCCGAGUAUGUGUUGAUUGCCAUAAUGCACUGAAGAUUAUGGCGAAAAUAGUUGGGAGAGAGUUCACCAUGCGAGAUGCGAAGAGAUUUCACCAUCUUAAAGAUGGGGAGUGUUCUUGUAACGACUAUUGGUGAUCCAGUGAAAACCCCAGUGCCAGGAUGCUUCCGACAGGAGGAAAGAGUCAAUGAUGGGAAAUCUAUGAAGUGCAACAAAACUUCAGCCAUUCAUGAUUCAUCAACAAAGCGACCAUGUAUGCCUCUCAUCCUCUUGACAUUGGAAGAUUAAAUUAGCCCCAAUCUCAGAUAACCUAUCCAGUUCCAUUGUCUCUAGAUUUGUUUACAUACAGAAAGCAUGUUAGAGGGUUUGUUUGAAAAAAAAAUAAGCUUGAAGUAUGACAAUGACCAUAGGGUUUCAACUUUCAUGCAUGACUAUCAGUGUAUCUGUCAGGUAUUUUUCGGUCUCAAGGAAGCCAGAGAUCUUCUUGGCCAAUCUCGGAAACAAAACAAAAGAAAGUGACGAGCUUCGCCUCCUCUGAGGUGGUUGGUUCUUCGUCCCUUCGCCAUUAAUGCACAGGAGGAAGGAUCUGCUCUUGAGAGCAAACUCUGUUGUCUCUCUACCAAAGUUAUGUCGUUUUUCGAGCAGUUCUUCUGGGUCGAUCCCCUUUCUUUCUAGGGUUCCUGGGGAUUCGGAGCUCGGAGAUGCAACACGACUGAGCGACAAACAGUCAAGGGCGGGACUGCUACCAGCCAAAGAAUCAGACAUUGCAGAGGAGAAACUGAAGAAAGCAUGGGGAAUCCAUAACCAUAGAUUCCAUGAAUUUAGGGCAGGAUAUACUGCAGAUCCUGAGAACGAAAAGCUCUAUGGCCUGCUGAAGGGUUUAAAGGCGCAAAUGGUUGACACGACAAAGUAUGUCCCCUGAUCUCGGACUUGUUUUGCGUUUAGACAGAUUUGUCAUGCUCCAAAGAAUCAACUGAAUGACUCCCUAGUCGUAGUUGUGUCUUUAUCAGAACUCUUUUGUAUUGUUGUGUGGUGAUAAGUUAGGAAUACGGAAUCCGAAAGCGUCCUCAUUCUCCGUU